GAUGAACGCUGGCGGCGUGCCUAAUACAUGCAAGUCGAGCGAACAGAUCAGGAGCUUGCUGGUUUGACGUUAGCGGCGGAGGGGUGAGUAACACGUGGGUAACCUACCUAUAAGACUGGAAUAACUCCGGGAAACCGGCGCUAACGCCGGAUAACAUCUAGAACCGCAUGGUGCUAUGGUGAAAGAUGGUUUUGCUAUCACUACUAGAUGGACACGCGCGGUAUGAGCUAGUUGGUAAGGUAACGGGUUACGAAGGCAAGGAUACGUAGCCGACCUGAGAGGGUGAUAGCCGGCAUGGGAGCGGAGACGGCGUCAAGAGGCCUAAGAGAGGCAGCAGAAGGGAACGGGACGCAGUGGGCGAAAACCUGACGGAGUGAGGGCGCGUGAGUGAUAGAAGUCUUGGGAGCGUGAAACUGGGUUUUGAGGGAUAAACAACUGUGUAAGGAACCGUGCAGGUCUUGACGGUACCGAAUCAGAAAGCCACGGCUAACUACGUG
rnacentral:rRNA from 1 species